AUUUUAAAAUUUAAUAGCCAAAAAAAAACUAUAUUACGUAUUAUUUUAGAUUUCAUUACAUUAUUCUGCAUUGUUUUAGACAUGAAUGGUAAAAUUGUAAAAAUAGACUACUUUGAAGUUUUUUUCCCACAAAAUCAUAAAUAUUUUAAGGGUGAAUUAGCUCAAUAACCAUAUUCCAUAAAAAUAUUAAGUAACUAACACCAUAAACGAAGGAAUUGAGAGAGUGACGCUACGGGUAUGUGAAGUUACAACCCACUCCCUAAGCCACGUUUCUGUGAUUUCUUGUACGUGUGUGAGGGUAAGAGCGAGCUUCUUUCUUCCAGCUGACGUGUCUCCUUUCGAAACCAGUAAAAAAAUUAUCCUAGCACCGCUUGAGAAUUGUCCCAUCAGUAACAUAACCUGCAGAUUAUUACAUUAAUUUGAAUAAAAUACUCCCCCCAAAAAAUCAGAGCAGAAGAUGCUCUGUUUUCUAUUUAUUGCCAAUAAAUGCUAUACCUUUUACGCAGAGAUCUAACCUGCAAAACAGAACAAUAUGGAUGAUGGUGAAAAUAGUUCAGCAGUAAAUACAGGGAAUCAAAAGGGAAAGAUACAAAACCA
rnacentral:sRNA from 1 species